GACGAACGCUGGCGGCGUGCUUAAUACAUGCAAGUCGAACGGAAAGGCCCUGCUUUUGUGGGGUGCUCGAGUGGCGAACGGGUGAGUAACACGUGAGUAACCUGCCCUUGACUUUGGGAUAACUUCAGGAAACUGGGGCUCAUACCGGAUAGGAGCUCCUGCUGCAGGGUGGGGGUUGGAAAGUUUCGGCGGUUGGGGAUGGAAUCGCGGCUUAUCAGCUUGUUGGUGGGGUGGUGGCUUACCAAGGCUUUGACGGGUAGCCGGCCUGGGAGGGUGACCGGCCACAGUGGGACUGAGAUACGGCCCAGACUCCUACGGGAGGCAGCAGUGGGGAAUAUUGCAAUAUGGGCGGAAGCCUGAUGCAGCAACGCCGCGUGCGGGAUGACGGCCUUCGGGUUGUAAACCGAUUUCGCCUGUGACGAAGCGUGAGUGACGGUAAUGGGUAAAGAAGCACCGGCUAACUACGUG
rnacentral:rRNA from 1 species